AAUGCACCGUCGAUUCUCGCCACUUUCGGCAAUCACAUCCAUCAACGCGCGCGCGCACGCACACACACACACACAUACAUACGUACAUCUAUAUAGCCGUGCGCGUCUUCAGGCACGUGUAACAACUCUUCCCCUUUCCUGCCCGUCUUCCGCCUCUGCGUGUCUCCGCGUUUGCUUGUAUUUUGUACCAUUUCCCACUGCACCGAACUGCGCACACGUGCACAUCACAUCAUCCGCUCCUUUCCUCUCCCCCUAGGUAUGGACUCGACGUACAGGGAGCCAAGCAGCGCCGCGGUGCCGACCAGCUACGCGGUGCUGAGCCUGCCGAGCAAGGCGACCAUGCGCCGCAAAGGCUACAACCCGGAUGAGGCGAACUACAACGGCGGCCUUGCCACGCACCCGCUCGCCACCUGGAAGACGUUCAGCCUGCCAGACGGGUGCACGUACAAGGAUGCCGUGUCGGCGGUGCAGACGGCCAACGCGAAGCCGUGGGGACCGAUCAAGAUCCGCCUCAACUUCUCCGAUGGACGGUACGAGCAGUUUGAGCGGGUGGCGCCGUCCGUCAUGGACUCGCUUCAGAGCACCACGACGUACAGUCCAAAUGAUGUCUUCAAGGCAGAGACGCUCUCGCUCUCGACGAUGCGCCGCACGCAGCAGCAACCGCGCCUUCGCCCGCUGGUGGACAAGCGCGGCCACCACCUUAGCAACAAGCCCAUCCCACGCACCUUCGCUCCAGAGGAGCUCUACAAGAACUGCCCCCCGCCGGUGUUGUGCCAGCCCGGCUAUGACUUCACUCCGAUCAGCUACAACACGUUCCUGCUGAAUCCGCAGGACCCGCCGCACGGGGUCCGCAACGUGCAGAGCAAUUUCAUGCACAGCAGCUGCGACUACCGCCCGCGCUCGUACCUCCGCCCGGAGGAGGCGACGGGGACCUCGCACGCCAGCCGCCACUGCCACUGCAACGAAGUGUUUCAGGUCGGCGACCACACGAUGGACUUCGCGUGCGAGGGGACGACGGUCGACCACCGAAACCGUCUCGUGAAGAAGGAUUACUCGCCGAUUGGUACGUCAAAGGCGAGCUCCUCCAUCGUUGGCCGCCGCCACGCCUGCAAGCCGCGCUUCGGCUGUACGGGAGUGGCGGACAGCGAGACCGUCGCUGCCGCGGCCGCCCCAGCAGCCGACGAAGAGACGGCGUAGGAGUAUGUAUUCGGCUGUUAAAGGCAGAGGUGGGCGAUGGUGUGACGCCUGUGGAUGUGUGUGUGUGUGUGUGUCUCCCGCUCUCCCAGAUCGUGAGUGUGCGUCUGCGCGGCUCGGCUUUGUAGAUGCUGUUCUCUGUGUGUAGGAGUGUACGGAUGAGACAGGCUGUGAUCCUUCUCUGUUGUACGGUGUGCACCGCCGCCACCUCCCGCCGCGGUUUGCUCUUUCUUCGUCUCUCACUUCUCUGCGACGUCACAGCCGCUGUCACCUCGUGUCGCCUCUUCUCCUUCUUCAUACUCGUACUGCCAGGAGCGCAUGCGCGCGUGCACACACACACACACACACACACACACCCACAGCAAGAGAGGGAAAGGGGUGAUAGCCUCCUUGGCUUGCUGAUGUACAGUCGUUAUUUGGUCUUCUCCAUCUUGUGUAUUUUUCCCGCCCGUUUUUUCAUGCGUUUUACACCCCGGAGAUCGUCUGCUCUUCGCGCCCGUGCAGCACGCGCGUUGGCCGCCCUCCCCGUUGCCGUGCCGCUUUCUCGGUCUUCCUCUUCGUGACGUGUGUGCGUGUGUGGACCGCAGAGAGAGACAGGUGCGCCAGCGACACGCGUCUAAGAGAUGGGGAUCGGGAGAACGAGACGCGAUCCAAGUCUUCACGCGCGUGCAUGUGCGUCGACAUGGGACGUUAAGCAAGGCAGCAUAUACAUAUACAUUUGUGUUUUGUAUGUGUGUGUAUCUGUAUAUGUAAAGUUGUCCUCCGAGAUCCACAAACAGCAGCAAUGACGGAGGCAACAGGGAAAGCAC
rnacentral:misc_RNA from 1 species